UACGGAGGAUCCAAGCGUUAUCCGGAUUUAUUGGGUUUAAAGGGCGCGCAGGCGGCUCAUUUUGUCAGGCGUGAAAGCCCCCGGGCUUAACCUGGGAACUGCGUUUGAUACGGAUGGGCUAGAGUUCGGGAGAGGAGAGUGGAAUUCCCAGUGUAGAGGUGAAAUUCGUAGAUAUUGGGAAGAACACCGGUGGCGAAGGCGGCUCUCUGGACCGAGACUGACGCUGAGGCGCGAAAGCGUGGGGAGCAACAGGG
rnacentral:rRNA from 1 species